AUUGAACGCUGGCGGAAUGCUUUACACAUGCAAGUCGAACGGUAGAGGGGGCAACCCCUUGAGAGUGGCGAACGGGUGAGUAAUAUAUCGGAACGUGCCCAGUCGUGGGGAUAACGUAGCGAAAGUUACGCUAAUACCGCAUACGAUCUAAGGAUGAAAGCGGGGGAUCGCAAGACCUCGCGCGAUUGGAGCGGCCGAUAUCAGAUUAGGUAGUUGGUGUGGUAAAGGCUCACCAAGCCAACGAUCUGUAGCUGGUCUGAGAGGACGACCAGCCACACUGGAACUGAGACACGGUCCAGACUCCUACGGGAGGCAGCAGUGGGGAAUUUUGGACAAUGGACGCAAGUCUGAUCCAGCCAUUCCGCGUGCAGGAUGAAGGCCCUCGGGUUGUAAACUGCUUUGUACGGAAGAAACGGUGAGCUCUAAUACAGUUUGCUAAUGACGGUACCGUAAG
rnacentral:rRNA from 1 species